GAUGAACGCUGGCGGCGUGCCUAAUACAUGCAAGUCGAGCGAACAGACGAGGAGCUUGCUCCUCUGACGUUAGCGGCGGACGGGUGAGUAACACGUGUAUAACCUACCUAUAAGACUGGGAUAACUUCGGGAAACCGGAGCUAAUACCGGAUAAUAUAUUGAACCGCAUGGUUCAAUAGUUAAAGACGGUUUUGCUGUCACUUAUAGAUGGAUCCGCGCCGCAUUAGCUAGUUGGUAAGGUAACGGCUUACCAAGGCAACGAUGCGUAGCCGACCUGAGAGGGUGAUCGGCAACACUGGAACUGAGACACGGUCCAGACUCCUACGGGAGGCAGCAGUAGGGAAUCUUCCGCAAUGGGCGAAAGCAUGACGGAGCAACGCCGCGUGAGUGAUGAAGGUCUUCGGAUCGUAAAACUCUGUUAUUAGGGAAGAACAAAUGUGUAAGUAAAUAUGCACGUAUUGACGGUACCAAAUCAGAAAGCCACGGCUAACUACGUG
rnacentral:rRNA from 1 species